AGCUAUCUUGAAUAUCUAGUCAGUUUUUUAGGUUUCUAGGUGAGGAAUUUUGAGGUUUUGAGCUCUUUUUAAACUCUGGCCCUGAGAUGAGGUUUAUAUCCUAAAUUGGAAGAAAAAGUUAACUGGAGCCAGAGACCAAUUGGUGCACCAGUUGCACCUGAAGGUGCACCAGGCCCAGUAUAGGAUUAAACACACCUGAGCAGCAGCUGCCUGGCUGAAUUAAGGAUGAGUGAGGAGCCAGGUGACUAAUAAAGGAAGGACUUGAGAGCAGUGAAAAGGUUGUCUUCAUAGCAUAGGUAGUUCAAAUGCUGAAGGUAUAACUCAAAUGUUGCCCUUAACCCAAUUUCUGUCCACACAUCAAAAUCUUUAGCUCUGAGUAACUGGGGUUUUAAAUUCAAGAUGACUGGCCUGUUGGGGGGAGGGGAAGAGGCAGAGGGUUGGAGCUUGAGUGCUGCUGAAACUCCAACUAGUCAUGCAGUGGGGACUGAGCUAAAGGGAGAUGGGAGGAGGCCUAGGAUAGACUGGGCCUUGUAAUUCUCUCUCAAGAAGGAGCUCUGUCAUGAGAUAUACUGGGAAGUUGCUGGGGUGAAGUGAACUUCUGUAUUGAGCCUUGACAGAAGGGCAAGACUCCAGUGAGGCAUCCAGGGGUUGGGUUUUCAGAAGAAACAUUGACACACAGAAAGCCCUAGGGAGACAGACAUGAGCCAUGAUUCAGCCUCCUAGUAGAAGAGCCAGAAAGAACUCUGCAGAGCCUGGGAAGGUGUGAAGAGUCUGCAGAAGAGGAACACAGGAGGGGGCUGUGGAAAGGUUCCAGGGACAGGCUGAGGUAGGAAGUGGUCAAGCAAGGCAGCAAGGAGUCUAGUCUGAGGAAGUAGAUCUUAGCUGCUUGCUAGACUGGAACCCAGAGCAGAGCAGCCUGGGUUCCCCUACUGGCUGCCAAAGGAGGUGGCGGGAAAACCUUCCAAAAUGACAAGUGAAAGGCCAUUGAGCCCAGAGAUGGGAUGAAGAUCUUGCAUUUGGCCAUUGGGCUAUUGUUCUGUGGGGCACUCUGCUACCCUGGGAAGGGUGGGGACUGAUUGUAACCAUGCUGGAGGGCUGGGCCAUGAGAAGAAGCAAAGCAUCACAGGGCUGGAGCAGCUGUCAGCAGAAAGUGCUAGAGGAGGAGAACCUGCCAUGCCCCGCCCACCCAUGAGCAGUUGUGCUGGCUGGUUCUGGACAGUUUUGUGACCAGCAAAUCCAGGCACAGAAGGGCUCACUCCAAUUUACUGAUAAAGCUCCAGCAGCCAGCUUCACACACUGCAGCAGCUCUGAUUGAUGUUAAAAGAAGUGCUAGGGUUGUGAGUUCACAGCUUUAUGGUGGCCUUAAAGGGGCACACCUUUAUAACUCCGCAAAGACAUCCAUAGAAUUCUCAUUACAAAAGAGAACUUCCUGAAGCUUGGACAGUGAGACCCAUAUCUUAGCAGCAUGCUCAAGCCCAGCUGCUGCCCACUGAUGCUGUCAGAGGAACUUUAUUCAGAACUCAAUGAAGAUGUCUGCACAGUACCUUUUUAAGCUAAUGGGAUACUUGGAUGCAUUAAAAAGACAGAGAAGAUCAAUACCUCACAAACUAGUCUGUGGCAUGAAUUUUCUUUUCUACCAAGUUCAAGAAUCAGCUCAGAUCCUGCAUGAAACUUUGGACUAAAGGAGUCACCUGGAGUUUUUACAUGGAGGAUAAAGCCACAUUUUCUUCAGUAAUGACAUUGGUUUGCAGGGGAUAUUCUUUCAAGGGAGAAAAAAUACAUCUGUGUACAAUUCUGAUGUUUUUUACUCUCACUCUCCACCCAGGAAAUAGAUUCAGACUGCAUGAUGGAUCACACAGUAUUAAGUGAUAUGCAUAAUCACAGUUUUUAUCAAUAUAAAUAGGUUGAUUUUAUUGUAGAGUCUAAGGUUAAAGAUUU